AUUGAACGCUGGCGGCAUGCCUUACACAUGCAAGUCGAACGGCAGCACGGGAGCAAUCCUGGUGGCGAGUGGCGAACGGGUGAGUAAAGUAUCGGAACGUGCCCAGUCGUGGGGGAUAACGUAGCGAAAGUUACGCUAAUACCGCAUACGAUCUAUGGAUGAAAGCGGGGGAUCGCAAGACCUCGCGCGAUUGGAGCGGCCGAUAUCAGAUUAGGUAGUUGGUGGGGUAAAGGCUCACCAAGCCGACGAUCUGUAGCUGGUCUGAGAGGACGACCAGCCACACUGGGACUGAGACACGGCCCAGACUCCUACGGGAGGCAGCAGUGGGGAAUUUUGGACAAUGGGCGCAAGCCUGAUCCAGCAAUGCCGCGUGCAGGAUGAAGGCCUUCGGGUUGUAAACUGCUUUUGUACGGAACGAAACGGCGAGCUCUAAUACAGUUUGCUAAUGACGGUACCGUAAGAAUAAGCACCGGCUAACUACGUGCCAGCCGCCGCCGUAA
rnacentral:rRNA from 1 species